rnacentral:rRNA from 1 species
AUUGAACGCUGGCGGCAGGCCUAACACAUGCAAGUCGAACGAGUGGCGGACGGGUGAGUAAUGUCUGGGAAACUGCCUGAUGGAGGGGGAUAACUACUGGAAACGGUAGCUAAUACCGCAUACCAUCGGAUGUGCCCAGAUGGGAUUAGCUAGUAGGUGGGGUAACGGCUCCCCUAGGCGACGAUCCCUAGCUGGUCUGAGAGGCUGACCCGUCACGCUGGAACUGAGAUACGGUCCAGACUCCUACGGUAGGCAGCAGUGGGGAAUAUUGCACAAUGGGCGCCAGCCUGAUGCAGCCAUGCCGCGUGUAUUAAGAAGGCCUUCGGGUUGUAAAGUACUUUCAGCGGGGAGGCGUUACCCGCAGAAGAAGCACCGGCUAACUCCGUGCCAGCAGCCGCGGUAAUUC